rfam:Schistosoma mattheei strain Denwood, Zambia genome assembly, scaffold: SMTD_scaffold0005790
UUUCGGCUGAUGAGUCUCAAAUAGGACGAAACGCGCAUCAUGAAU